GGAGGGAUCAUUACCGAGUUAUACAACUCAUCAACCCCUGUGAACUUACCUACAACGUUGCUUCGGCGGGAACAGACGGCCCCGUAAAACGGGCCGCCCCCGCCAGAGGACCCCUAACUCUGUUUUUAUAAUGUUUUUCUGAGUAAACAAGCAAAUAAAUUAAAACUUUCAACAACGGAUCUCUUGGCUCUGGCAUCGAUGAAGAACGCAGCGAAAUGCGAUAAGUAAUGUGAAUUGCAGAAUUCAGUGAAUCAUCGAAUCUUUGAACGCACAUUGCGCCCGCCAGUAUUCUGGCGGGCAUGCCUGUUCGAGCGUCAUUACAACCCUCAGGCCUCCGGGCCUGGCGUUGGGGAUCGGCGGAGCCCCCCGUGGGCACACGCCGUCCCCCAAAUACAGUGGCGGUCCCGCCGCAGCUUCCAUUGCGUAGUAGCUAACACCUCGCAACUGGAGAGCGGCGCGGCCACGCCGUAAAACACCCAACUUCUGAAUGUUGACCUCGAAUCAGGUAGGAAUACCCGCUGAACUUAAGCAUAUCAAUAAGCGGAGGAAAAGAAACCAACAGGGAUUGCCCCAGUAACGGCGAGUGAAGCGGCAACAGCUCAAAUUUGAAAUCUGGCUCUCGGGCCCGAGUUGUAAUUUGUAGAGGAUGCUUUUGGUGCGGUGCCUUCCGAGUUCCCUGGAACGGGACGCCAUAGAGGGUGAGAGCCCCGUCUGGUUGGACGCCAAUCCUCUGUAAAGCUCCUUCGACGAGUCGAGUAGUUUGGGAAUGCUGCUCUAAAUGGGAGGUAUAUGUCUUCUAAAGCUAAAUACCGGCCAGAGACCGAUAGCGCACAAGUAGAGUGAUCGAAAGAUGAAAAGAACUUUGAAAAGAGAGUUAAAAAGUACGUGAAAUUGUUGAAAGGGAAGCGCUUGUGACCAGACUUGGGCUUGGUUGAUCAUCCAGGGUUCUCCCUGGUGCACUCUUCCGGCCCAGGCCAGCAUCAGUUCGCCCCGGGGGAAAAAGGCUUCGGGAAUGUGGCUCUCUCCGGGGAGUGUUAUAGCCCGCUGCGUAAUACCCUGUGGCGGACUGAGGUUCGCGCAUUCGCAAGGAUGCUGGCGUAAUGGUCAUCAGUGACCCGUCUUGAAACACGGACCAAGGAGUCGUCUUCGUAUGCGAGUGUUCGGGUGUCAAACCCCUACGCGAAAUGAAAGUGAACGCAGGUGAGAGCUUCGGCGCAUCAUCGACCGAUCCUGAUGUUAUCGGAUGGAUUUGAGUAAGAGCAUACGGGGCCGGACCCGAAAGAAGGUGAACUAUGCCUGUGUAGGGUGAAGCCAGAGGAAACUCUGGUGGAGGCUCGCAGCGGUUCUGACGUGCAAAUCGAUCGUCAAACAUGGGCAUGGGGGCGAAAGACUAAUCGAACCUUCUAGUAGCUGGUUUCCGC
rnacentral:misc_RNA from 1 species